rnacentral:rRNA from 1 species
UACGAACCGAGCGAACGUUGUUCGGAAUCACUUGGCUUAAAGGGCGCGUAGGCGGGUGCUCAAGUCCGUGGUGAAAUCCUCCGGCUCAGCCGGAGAACUGCCUCGGAUACUGGGUGCCUCGAGGGUGGUAGGGGUAUGCGGAACUAUCGGUGGAGCGGUGAAAUGCGUUGAUAUCGAUAGGAACUCCGGUGGCGAAGGCGGCAUACUGGACCACCUCUGACGCUGAGGCGCGAAAGCCAGGGGAGCAAACGGG